rnacentral:rRNA from 1 species
GAGCGAACGUUAGCGGCAGGCCUAACACAUGCAAGUCGCACGAGAAUCCGGCUUCGGUCGGUAGUAAAGUGGCGGACGGGUGAGUAACACGUGGAUAAUCUGCCCCUCGGCGGGGGACAACAGUCCGAAAGGAUUGCUAAUACCGCAUACGUCAGCGAGGUCUUCGGACCUUGUUGGGAAAGAUGGCCUCUUCAUGAAAGCUAUCACCGAAGGAUGAGUCCG